rnacentral:sRNA from 1 species
CUUGGUCAUUUAGAGGAAGUAAAAGUCGUAACAAGGUUUCCGUAGGUGAACCUGCGGAAGGAUCAUUAGUGAAUCCUCAAAAGUCGGCCCGUCGGAUUGUGCUGGUGGAGACACAUGUGCACGUCCGUCGGGUCGCAAACCCACACACCUGUGCAUCUAUGACUCUGAGUGCCACCUUGCAUGGCCUUGAUCGGCCUGGCGCUCGAGUACUUUUCACACUCCCGAAUGCAAUGGAAUGUCUUGUUGUGCGUAACGUACAAACUGAAACAACUUUCAACAACGGAUCUCUUGGCUCUCGCAUCGAUGAAGAACGCAGCGAAAUGCGAUAAGUAAUGUGAAUUGCAGAAUUCAGUGAAUCAUCGAAUCUUUGAACGCACCUUGCACCCUUUGGUAUUCCGAAGGGUACGCCCGUUUGAGUGUCAUUAUAACCACUCAAGCCUGGCUUGGUAUUGGGGUUCGCGGUCCCGCGGCCCCUAAAAUCAGUGGCGGUGCCGGUGGGCUCUAAGCGUAGUAAAUCUCCUCGCUAUAGGGUCCCCCCGGUUGCUUGCCAGAACCCCCCAUUUUUUCAGGUUGACCUCGGAUCAGGUAGGGAUACCCGCUGAACUUAAGCAUAUCAAUAAGCGGAGGAAAU